UGAGGUCCUUCGGUGGCCGCGGAUCCGCCCAAGGCGGAUCUGAGGAACUUCCGGGCUCCACAGGGCACGAUGGCGGAUAACGUCCGCCCAGGGCGACCUGAGAGACAGCGCAACAGAGAACAGACCGCCUGGCCGUAAGGCCAGGUAAGGGUGAAACGGCGGUGCAAGAGACCACCGGGCCCCUGGCAACAGUGGGUCGCAUGGCAAGCCUCAUCGGGAGCAAGGCCAAGCAGAAGGCAUCAAGAGCUGCCCGCUCAAGCCUUCGGGUAGGCUGCUAGAGCCUGGCGGCGACGCUAGGUCGAGAUGGAUGGCCAUCCGGGCGCUUCGGCGCACGACAGAACCCGGGGUAUGAGGGACCUCAACAC
rfam:Bifidobacterium subtile strain LMG 11597 Contig16, whole genome shotgun sequence.